UUCUUUCCCAGUCGUUACCACUGGUAACAACUUGGGGGUAACUAAUGGGAAUAAUCCACCAGAACUUACUUGCAUCGUGUAGAAGCUCCGUAAAUCAAAUCGCAUUUAUAUAUUCGUUAACCUUACGUUACGCAUACGUAUAUGUUGUCCGAAACGAAAGUAACGAAACGCAAGUUUGUCAUUGUCAAAAAUAAUUGUUUGUGCAUUACGGUGUUUAAAUAGCCAAAUUUCCAAUAAUGUACAUAUAUUUUUUAAUCAAUUACUUAGCGAAAAAUACUGAAUAAUGAACAUGUGCAGAACUUGCCUUAAAACUCCAGCUGAUAAGCGUAUUUUGGAGCUGGAAAAGGUCAUAAAAGAUGACAACAAGAACUGCUUCCACAUUAUGCUGUUUUGUUUAGAUAUAAAGGUCAUCGAAGACUCUAAAAUAACAACGAAUUUAUGUAACAAUUGCUAUAGAAAAAUCAUAUCGUUUUACAAUUUUAAGGCCCUAUCUCUGAAAAAUGAUGCAUAUUUAAAGUCUUUAGAGUCAGCUGUGCAGUUCGAGGACCAGAAAUUGUCUGUGUACGUGGAUGAAAACGGAAUUAAACACGAGAAUUUCUUAGAUCCUGAUGAUUUUGGCCCCAGUCUUGAAGAAGACAAUAGAAAAUUUGAAAUAGAAGUAGAGGUUAAGGAAUACGAUCCAGUAAGAAAUAUUGAAGUAAAUGUUAAGAAUGAAGACACUUUGCAACAUCCAGAGUCAGAUGAAGAGCCAUUGAGUGUGGUACAGAAGGUUAAAUAUGAAAAUGUUAAAAACGAUUGUAAAGAAAAUGGUAAAAACUACAUGCACAAAAAACAUGGGCGUCCCAAAAAUGUAAAACUACCGAAAAAAAUAAAGGUGAAAGAAGAGCGUCAAGUUUGUGAAGAGUGCGGCAAGUCCGUCCGUAACCUCAAGGUUCAUUCUCUUCUUCAUCGGCGCAAGGGUGAGAGGAAAAUGAUGCAGUGUAAGCUCUGCCCGAAGCUCUUUAGUACUUACUCAGGUCGAACCAGACACUACCGUACCAUCCAUUUAGGCUUAUCUGAUGUAAGCAAAUCUGUAUGUGAUAUUUGUAAUAAAGAGUUCAGAUAUCUGAAGGGACAUGUAAUGAUGAUGCAUAAUCAGGAAAGUUUACCAUAUGGCUGUGUGUCAUGCAAGCGUCGGUAUAUAUGCCACUCGGCACUUGAGAAACACAUGGCCAAGCAUGUAGGUGUGCCCGAGCUGCCAUAUGAGUGUGACAUAUGCAAAAGGAGGUUUCGCUUUAAGAAUGUUGUCUCAAAACAUAUACGAAAGUACCAUUUAAAUGAAAAAAACUAUCAAUGUGAAAUCUGUUCUAAGACUUUUUUCGACAAACAACCAUUUAUAGAUCAUAUGGACUCGCACUCUGAUGAGCGACGAUAUAAAUGCAAGGAGUGCGGCCUCGGCCUCAAGACGCAGGACACGCUUCGGAAACACAUGAAUGUAAUACAUAGCGACGUUAGGAAGUACUCCUGUACACUGUGCAGCAAGAGCUUCAAGAUAUCCUCGAGCCUAACGGUCCACAUGCGAACACACACGAAGGAGAAGCCGUACCCGUGCCGGUUCUGCGACGUGCGCUUCGGCCGCCAACACCAUCGCAAGCGGCACGAAUUCAUCAUUCACAAGAAUAUGAAAGCCAAAUGAAUUGCAAUUUCUUCACGCGAUACAGUGAAAGGGGUCUGAAGUUAUAGCACAGGUAAGUGCAGGAAUACAGAUCCACUUUUGUUCACUAUAGGGAGCGUGCAUGAACUAUAGGGGGCAGCACAGGAGACGUCAGAUUUUUUUGAUGUUUAUGCUUUCAAUGUAGCCCACAAGAUGGCAGAACCCACUAUGCACAAGAAAGCGUACGAGAACGGUAGAUGGCAGCACUUGCUUUGGCGUGAGAUAUCAAUGUACAUGUUUAUGUUUCUGAUUCAGGCCACAAGAUGGCAGUCCCUCCCACGGGCACGGUCCCUAUAAAGAUUACUUGAGGGAUCUUAUUACAGUGGCGUACAGAAAGAAAAGCCUACGCUCAGCAGAGUGUGAUGAGAGGGUGAAAACAGAAUGUUGUUAUGGAAAAUGUUUUUACAUUCAAACCUAAAUAAUUUAUCAGAUUCCGAUACCGUUUUUCGUUUCUUAAAAUUGUUAUUAAAAUUGAUAAAGCUUCA